rnacentral:lncRNA from 1 species
GCCCCCUUUUGAAAAUUACUUUGUAAAAACAAAUAUCACAGUUAUGGAUUCAAUUAUUGAAAAAGAUGCUAUUUUCUGAGAUAUGAUAAAUACUUGCCUGGGCUUGGUAAAUUACAGCUGUCCAUUGUGAGCUCAUUUCUGAAGGAGAUUCAUUUAAAAUUUUAUUACUGUGUAGAUCACACAAUGGAAUAACAGUGUUAAUAGCUUGAUACUGUAGCUGCAGGAUUUGCAACUUACUCUUAUGAAGCAAACUGCCCCCAGGCCAGCGGCUGCUCAUUUAUUUCACUAUAUUUAAAUCAAUUGAAGAGGCAGUCAGACAGUAAAUUGUGUGUGUGUCUCUGGUCAUAAAAUUGGCAUCUCAAACUGUAAAGUCUUCUGCAAAGAUUUAACAGCUCCCCCUUUCGGGACGGACUCUUUUUUGUCCCAUCUUCUGCGGGGAAGGUGUGGAGAUGUAAAUAACAUUCUUUUUCUGUCUUCUUGUUCAGUUCUCUUUUACCACCGUACAGUGGGGUCCAACUUUUCCAGCUUCUGUAAAGCUCCCACUUACUGCUUGAGGGGGAUUCUUUUGUCUGAGCAGCGGAACAAGAUAACCGACUUAAUCUUCCUAGUAACACCCACCUGCCAUAUUGUGCUACAGACAGGUCCACAUAGAGAGGAGCUGAGGCCUCUGGCCAGCAGCCAGCAAGGAAGACACCUCCUGCUAACAGUCACAGGAGAGUGCUUGGAGGCAGAAGUACCAGUCCCAGUCAAGCCUUCAGAUGACUGCAGCCCUGGCUGAUAUUGUGAUGGAGACUUAAGAAGACUCUGAGUCCGCAUUAUCCGGCAAAGCCACUCCCCAGUUUCUGAUCUGUGGAAACUUCAAGCUAAUAGCCUUUUAUAAUCUUUUGUGUAUAAUAAUCCUUUGUUAUUCACAGCCUCCAAGUUUUGGGUUAAUUUGUCAAGCAGCAAUGAGAAAUAAUAUAAUAAUAAAAAUAAAAAUAAAUAAGAAAUAAAAUAAUAGAUAAUUAUAAUCCAACUGUAGUGUAGAUAAUAAUGAUAUAAGUG